rnacentral:rRNA from 3 species
GUCUAAGUAUAAGCAACUAUACGGUGAAACUGCGAAUGGCUCAUUAAAUCAGUUAUCGUUUAUUUGAUAGUACCUUACUACAUGGAUAACCGUGGUAAUUCUAGAGCUAAUACAUGCUAAAAACCUCGACUUCGGAAGGGGUGUAUUUAUUAGAUAAAAAACCAAUGCCCUUCGGGGCUCCUUGGUGAAUCAUAAUAACUUAACGAAUCGCAUGGCCUUGCGCCGGCGAUGGUUCAUUCAAAUUUCUGCCCUAUCAACUUUCGAUGGUAGGAUAGUGGCCUACCAUGGUAUCAACGGGUAACGGGGAAUUAGGGUUCGACUCCGGAGAGGGAGCCUGAGAAACGGCUACCACAUCCAAGGAAGGCAGCAGGCGCGCAAAUUACCCAAUCCCGACACGGGGAGGUAGUGACAAUAAAUACUGAUACAGGGCUCUUUUGGGUCUUGUAAUUGGAAUGAGUACAAUUUAAAUCCCUUAACGAGGAACAAUUGGAGGGCAAGUCUGGUGCCAGCAGCCGCGGUAAUUCCAGCUCCAAUAGCGUAUAUUAAAGUUGUUGCAGUUAAAAAGCUCGUAGUUGAACCUUGGGCCUGGCUGGCCGGUCCGCCUCACCGCGUGUACUGGUCCGGCCGGGCCUUUCCUUCUGGGGAACCUCAUGCCCUUCACUGGGCGUGUUGGGGAACCAGGACUUUUACUUUGAAAAAAUUAGAGUGUUCAAAGCAGGCCUUUGCUCGAAUACAUUAGCAUGGAAUAAUAGAAUAGGACGUGUGGUUCUAUUUUGUUGGUUUCUAGGACCGCCGUAAUGAUUAAUAGGGAUAGUCGGGGGCAUCAGUAUUCAAUCGUCAGAGGUGAAAUUCUUGGAUUGAUUGAAGACUAACUACUGCGAAAGCAUUUGCCAAGGAUGUUUUCAUUAAUCAGUGAACGAAAGUUAGGGGAUCGAAGACGAUCAGAUACCGUCGUAGUCUUAACCAUAAACUAUGCCGACUAGGGAUCGGACGGUGUUAGUAUUUUGACCCGUUCGGCACCUUACGAGAAAUCAAAGUUUUUGGGUUCUGGGGGGAGUAUGUCGCAAG